AUGAACAGGAAUAUGUGAAAUACAUGUUUCUGGCGAGGAGCUUCUCAAAGCUUCAGUUAGGUUAAUGCACACAGCCAAGAACUGAAAUGAAUCUUCUGCAUGCAACCACCAACGCUUUCCGUCAAGUGGUUUGUCUGCGGAAUCAAAUAUAGCAUCAAGGUGAUUCUCAGUAAAAGCUAUCCGUCCCUUGUAAGAUAGCUUGUCUACACCACCAGCAAAUAGAUUUGCAAUGUGUAUCUUCAGCCAGCGUAAGCCUGACUUUCCAAGAGGGCGUCCCUCUGCGAACUCCAAAAUCCCCCGGCACAGAUCUGAUCCAAGAUGGUUUAAGUAUGGGUGCAUGGGGUAGGCACGCCCACGAAAGUCAAUAUUGUGUGGAUAAUAGAAACCUUCUUCAUCUUUCAUCUUCCGUGCUACCUGGAGCCAAUUAAGAAUGAUGGCAUGAACGCCAUCAAGAAGAUUGAAAGUGUACUGUCUAAAAUAAAGUAAAUUGAGUCUUACAGCAAGUUUAAAUUCUAUGUCACAACGCUGUGCAUGUCUUUCCCUGUUCUCUUUUUUCACUCCUCUAAGUUUCCACUUCCACUUCUAAAGUAGUGCUUUAUCUUCUGUUUCUGGCUUCUCAGGUAAAGGAUCCUGAAAUGAAGAAAUUAAAUGAGAAAGGUUUUUUAGUUGCUAUCAUGAUCAAUUCUUGGAACACAAAGGUAAAGGUAAAGGAGUUUCUCAGGAAAAAAAAAAGUUACAUUGAGGAAAGUUAGAAAAGAUACUCACAUCACUGUAAAAUUAAUUCCCUAGUGUAUCCAGGGCCUGGAAAAUUAAUUCAAACAAAAGAGAAUCCUUGUUAAACCAAAAGCUAAGCUGGUAAAAUCUACACAUGUGAUAGCAUGUGAAGGUAUACACAAUUAUCAGUAUAAGAUUGUGUUCAAAGCACAUCACAUGUUAGUACCAAAAGAUGAUUUAGGUCAAACAAUAAAAUACGCAUCAGUAACCAUGCAAUGCAUCUAAUGUGUACAGACCUCAAAAACUGGUUGUAGCUGCUUCCUAGGUGCCCUCUUAACUGCUUCACGUUGCUGUUUAGCACCAUGUAUCCGCAUGACAUAGGAUGGUAAGAACAAGUGAGCUCCUUUAUCAUAACUGCAAAGGGCAUUGAGGUUAUGCUCGACACGAGUAAGAGAGAGGUAAAUAUCACAAGCUAUGACACAAUUAUCUAAGAAGAGCUUAGAACACACCAAAAAGCUACUUAAAUGCCAGGUCCUGAUUUGUUAGUAGAAGCAAUAGUGGUGUUAAGAGUUGCUACAACUACAUGGGAACCAGAAUACAACCACAAACUCAUUAAAUGCCAGAUUAAAGUAGCGUAUGUAAGGAACAUGUAUUAAGAAUUUGUAUCUUCCAAAUUUGUAUACAAGGAUCUAAAAUUAAUUUUAGUGGGGACUAUGCUAAUGUGCCUCCUGCAACUUGCAUGAUGAUUGAGUGAAAGAGCCAAGACCACUAUAAACUUGCUAGUAAACAAAGUGCUCUUUCCCCAAAACCAAUUCAUGAAAUGGUUUUCAUCUGAUGCUCAAUCUGAUCAAAUUAAGAUAUUCAGAGAUCAAUCACUGGUUUAAAUCUUUUCUUUUUGUAGAUAGAAAGUGUGCCCAGGAAUCUCAGUCCUAAUGGGCAAUUUACAACCAAAAGCGCUAGGGAGCUUAUCAGAUUUAAAGGCAAUAGGUUGAAUGGCAGAAGCUGCCAUAGAGGCCUCUUCAUAUUCCAAAGCAUGUGUAGUUUUUCAAUUGAGGAUUGUGAUCACCUAUUCAUGAAAAACUUAACCAAAGUCCAUGAAAAACAUAUCCUAACUAACUUGCCAAACAAUAAGGUUCAAAAAUCUCAGUUUGACAGCAGAGAUCCGUCUAUGCCAUUUCUCCCAUGUAAUCAUCUGUUGUCUCCUUGCGCUUCUGGCACAUUUGAAAUUUGAAAUAAAUACCUAUAUAUGAAUCAUCACCUAAAGAAACUAAACUACUUCAAUCAAGUUCUCUAUGUACUAUCCUAAUCCUAAAUUAACUACAUGUCUGACUUCACAUGAAAACAACAAUUCAAUACUCUUAUCUUUUCUUGCGCUAAAAUAAUCCACCACAGCAUCCUUGUAGAAAACCUAACACCUUUUCUUUCUCUAUAUUUUAUCUCUAACAGCCAACCAUUCUUUUCCAUGAAGUAUACCUCUCCCUUUAACAUCAAAAACAUUAUAAUAAAGAAUUCCAUAGCAAUCCCUAAAUUCUCCUGCCUGUGGCACUAAUGUUAAUUUUCCGGUAUUAGACAUGGUUGUGAUUAGCAAAUGCUCUUCAAUGUUUAAAGACAGUGUUCUCCGUUUUGUUGAGAAUCCUAGACAAAACCUUCCAUCUCAUAUCUCACAUUCACCAUGUUUUCAAUAAACACCUGCAAGACAAUUAGUUUCCCUUCCAAUGGAGGUUACAGAAAUGGAGAGGCAGAGCCUUGAGACAUGCUGAAAUGUUAAUUUCAAUUAACUGAAAUUGGGAUUGGAAUUCCAGUCUUUAUAAUCAGAGAUUCAUCCCUUCAUCUAUUAUACCAUUUUAAGCAUUUAACUUGACAUGAAAAUUGAAAAUAGCUCCAGGCAUCAAGCAGAAGUAACCAAAACACUAUGUUAAUAUUUCUGAACUUGGAAUAUAUCCAACUAAAAAAUAUAAAAUUAAAACAAGACAAUCGUGGAAAAACUGUAAAUAUAAAACAAGUUAACAUACCCUCUCCAUCUAAGUGGUGGCACUAACAUUGGCAUAUAAGGAAUCACCAUGUGCCUAGCCUGUUUGGAGAAACAACAUUUUUAUGACUUCUUGUGCAAGAAAAAAGAAUGAAAGACAAACAUCUGCAACUUAAGAGGCACCAUGGAAAUUGCCUACAAAUCUUAUCUGUUUCAGCUCUAAAAUCUAGAAACUAACCUAUCUGCUUUGAAAGUAUAUGGCACCCCGACACAAGUUCAUGUCAUAAAGAAUGAUAAAAUAUGAAAACUAGAUAUCACUAGAAAAACAAAAUAUGACAGGGUUACUCACAGUUUUCUCUAGGCCUUUGAGGACUAGAGGGUCACAUUGUAUAACACCAUAUUUUUUCGCGCCCUUCCUGUUUAAGAAAAGGCCAUUGUGCAUCAGUUAGGAGCAAUUACAAGAAAGAAAAGAUAAAUUGAGCACAUCGAGUCAAUUAAAGAAUCACUCCAUACUUAUUUUCAUAUGACACAGUUCUGAAUGUAUGUACAAAUGCAGGUCGAGGUUCAGAUGGACUAUCAGCUAACUGAUCACAGGGAGGCUGUAUAUAAGCUGUUUGUAACAGCAAUUCAAUUAGACGGCUUCCAACCUGCAAAGUGUAAGGACAGAAAUCAAAUUGGUACACGAUACAUUUUUUUUAAGAAAAUUAGCCUUUAUCAAUGAUUACAAGCACACAAACCUUAGCCCUAGCAUCUGCAUUCCAUGGUUUUGAAUCAUCCUUCCCCUUCACAAUCUUCCUCACAGCUGGCAGCUUUUGUUUUUUAAUCAAAUCAGUAACCUUUUUUCUUAGGUUUUCUUGUUCCUUCAUGACAGCAAGGGAUUCACCUUCUACACCAUUCUUGCUAUCAUUAGCCUUUUCCUUUUUCUUCCUUGUUUUCUCCAAGAUAUUGUGUAUUCUAAUAUGUUUCAUCACAGAAACUGUUACAGAUUCAGUCCUCAGUUCAAAGAAAGAGAACAAGACUGAAGAGUUAGGAGUUCCAAAAAAUGGAUUAAGAAUGGUACACCUAAAUAUCUCUUCAUUGUAUAGUUCUUUUUUUAAGAGAAAACAAGGAAAAGAAAAGAGUAAGCAACUCCCAUAGUCAGAAGAGACAGUAGAGCAAAGUGUCACGCAUGCCUUUAAAGUCUAAACCAAGAGAAAAAAUUAAACAACUUACAAAACAAAGGCACAAACAAGAACACAAAUAAUUGAAAUGAUAAAGAUAAUUGCUGUCCCCAACAGGGAAAUGCAAAAGCAUAAAUCCAUAGUGAAACAAUGUCGAAACAUUAGAUGAGCUCUGACAAAGGAAAGUUGAAUGUCACUCUUAUGAGUCUACCAUGCCCAUGCUUUGAAGAAAUUGUAGCUCAAAAAAGAAAGGUGUAAUAGAAUAUUCAGCCUAACAAGGCCCGUGAUAUGAAAAGUUUAACACUUAAUGAAAAAAUUGUAAAAACUUACUAUCUAAAGGAUCUUACACUACAUUGUUUUUCGUACCUACAUUUAGUGUCCUCCCUGGAACCAUGAACAGCAGAAGAACUUGGACUGAAAGUAAAAACUAUAGAUAUAUAAAAAAGAAAUCCAGAAAAACUCCAUUCAACAUUCGACAAAACUUUACGGAACGUAACUUCAAAAUCUAAUUUUCCAGGCAAUACUAGCUCCAUAGCUGAUUUUUAUCUCAUAAUUGUACAUAGUAACUUUCAUCUUUCUUCCUAGUUCAUCACCUCAGAUGAAGGUUGUCUAAAAGUAAAUUUAAGAAACUUUAUGUUUUCCCUUAUCUUUCAAUAUUUUUAUACGGGCACUCAUUAUCCUCUGUCUACAAAUCAAACCGCAAGUAAAAAUAAGCAAAUAAAACAUUAAAAAUUACUUACCUCCUGCUCAAUUGCAUCACCAAUCAUACAAGCAGCAGUCACAACUCUUGCACAUCCAUGUUCCCCACCUAUCAUUACCAUUGCUGCGAGUUGAUGCAUUGCAAUAACAGACAUCUUGUCAGCUGGCAACAGAUCAAAAUACGGAGCAUAACCCUGCCUACUCUUCCCCGUUCUAAUCAACUCCUGCUCUUUCGCAAUUGCAUCUGUAAAAGGCUCAAACCAACCAAGGAACAAACUCUUCAUAUAUGGCAAAUUAGGAGCCAACUUAUGCUCACACAUAUCCUUCAAAAGCUCCUUAUAUUCUUUCGUUGCCAGUUCCCAUGCUUCCGCCUCAAUCUUCACUUGCCUUCUCCUUAAGACCCUAUGCUUCCUUGACCCUAUUCCAGGGUUAGCAUGUAGCCUCCUCCUCCUAAAGUGCUCCUCUUUCUCCUCUUCUUUCCUCAUUUCUGGCAGCAAUUCAUCCGCACCAGACACAUUAUCUUCAACAUCUGUUGAUGACACUGCCUCAGCUACACUCACAUACCCUCUUGGACAAAAUCCAGCACACCGAUUCCCAUUAGUACGUUCACUAUUUCUCGAAAAAAUAGAACCGGGUUUUCCCAUAAAAUCUUCAUGGGUUGAUAUUUCGCCAAUUGCUCGAAAACUCAGUCGUGGACUUGUGUUAUUAAGCGAAUGCAACUUGAGUUUCUCAAAAAAGAUGGGUUCUUUAGAGGCUCCUAAUUUAAUAUGGAAACAAUCCUUCCAUCCGCAAGCAUGGGAUUAUCCUAAAUUUAAGAAGAAAAUCCAUACAAAGUAAAAUGUGAAUCUAAUUCCCCAAACCAAAACCAUGAGCAAAAACUACUGAAGAUCUUCAAGCUAAAGAAACUUUUGGAGGUGUAGUCGCAGCAGCCGCAGCAGGUGCUGCUGCUGCAGCACCACCUGCUCCUGCUCCUGCCGCUGCAGUUGCACCUGCUCCACCUCCUUCUGCAGUCGCUGCAGUUGUUGCUGCCGCUGCAGGUUCACCUGUUGCUGCCGCUGCAGGUUCACCUGUUGCUGCCGCUGCACAAGCAUCCGUCGUCGCUGCACGAGCAUCCGCCGUCGCUGCAAGAGCACUCGCCGCCGCUGCACGGGCACCCGCUGCACGAGCACCCGCCGCCGCUGCACAAGCGGCGGCUGCCGCUGCAGCUGCUCCUCCUCCUGCUCGACCUGCUCCUCCUCCUGCUCGAGCAGCAGCUGCUGUAGCUCAGGUAUAGUGAAACUGUACAUGGAAUCGAUGUUACAUGGGUGUUAAAAAAAACAAUUAAUAAAAUAAUAUCUAUCCAAAAAUAAAUAAAUAAUAAUAAUUACAGAUGAGGAAUAUUAAUUGAAACAUAAAUUUAAAAAAUAUUUUUAAAAAAAUAAUAAAAAGAAAGAAUUAAUUAUUACCUUUUCGAUACAGAUGAAAUCUCAACUUUAUUGAGAAUAUCCAUCCAUCUUUGUACCUUCUCCUUGUUUUCCCUGAAAUUUUCUUCAUUCUUGUCAAAGACAAUUGUGUAACUCUCUGUUUGAUCAUUUAUCUUUGAUUCUUCGACAUCAUAAGAAACUGGAAACACGGUAUCCGAUCUCAUCUCAUCCAUGAAUCCAAAAAUCUUGACAAGUUCGUUAAAGCACCAAGGUAAAGAAGCACAAUCUCUUGCAAAUAUAAUAAUUGACAACCCUGAUUCUUCAAUGGCCUCAAAGAGUCUUGAUCUAAUUGCCAUUACUUUCUCUUGUUCCUUCCUGACUGGGAUAAUAACUCUCCGAGCUAGAUCUGACUUUAAAUAGGUGAUAACAUUGCUAGUGUCUGCGGCUCUGAUGCCAGGGAAAACACUAGCCAUCCAAUGAUGGUAAGAUGAAGAAAAAGCUAAAGUUGCUUUAUAUGAAGAAGCUGUUUCUAAACUUGUAACAAUAAAAUGGGCAGAUGGUUGCGAUGUACUAUACAGAGAAGAUAACAAACAAACACCACAAUUCUUCACCUUUACUCGUCGCUCGUCGGAAUGAAAUGACAACUCAAUGUUGCUAAAGGAUCCAUGCUUCCAUUCUUUAAGCUCUUUAAGGUAAUCAAAAGAUAGAUAGAAUAGCCACACAUGAUCUGACAGAACUUGGAUAGAAUUACAACUAAUACUUAUCAACGAACGAUAAUUCUCUCUUCCAUUGGCUUUGAAAUGACAAGAAAGAGGACUUUCACCAUUUGCACUGAAUGCAACAUACGCAACAAACCCCAUGCUCCAACUAGGCACUUGCACACUAAUUGAAGAUCCCUUACUUUGAUGGUUAAACCAGCCUGGAAUUGUAUUUCCUGGAACAACGAUACCAAAUCCAGGUCUUGGAUUAGACAAACCCUGUACCAUGAAGAACCAAAAUGUUAGAUAGAUAGAGGGAGAGGGAGAGAGAUACAAAGAGGUUGAGGUAUGAUUAAGAGAAGACCUUGAGGUAUCUUUCAAGCAUGGUCAACCCCAUGUUGUCUUGGCCAUUAUGCUCGUACAAUUCCCAGCAGUUAAGACAUAUGAACUCUGAUGUUUCGAAACUGCUUAGCUUUAUCGGAUCUGGAAUUUCUUUUAGGCGUAUACAACCAUUCAAAUUUAAUGUUUGAACUUUUGAUGGAACCUCAGGCAAUGAUUCAAGCAUCCUACAAUCCUCCAAGACAAGCAUUUCGAGUCCAGAAAGCUGAUUUAUGCUUUUAGGCAGGCUAAUAAAGUUAUUCUGGCUCAGAUUUAAAGACUUCAAUGAAGAUAAGCAGCCAAUAUCUUCAGGAAGUGCCCCUUCUCUUAGAUUGCAAGCGCAUAAAUCCAAUACUUCUAAAGAACACAGACCCAACAAAGAAGGCAACCUGUGAUCCGUGGGAUUCAUAGUUAUUCUUUUGCAUCCAUCAAAAGAUAAUACUUUAAGAUUCUUUAAAAGAAAAAUGGAUGCUGGCAGUUGUCUUAUUGAAGUUCCACUUCCAUCAAACUCCUCCAAACUUUCAACUUUCCCCAAAUUCUCUGGUAUAUAUUUAAGUUUAGAGCAACCAGACAGAUCAAGUUUUUUAAGGGAUUUCAAACAACCUAUGCUACUUGGAAUGCUUUCAAGGUUCUUGCAGUUGUUCAUGCUCAAUACAUCUAAGCCAAUCAAAUGACGAAUUGAUGAAAAUAGUUCAACAAUACCAGUCUCGUCCAAACGAAGCACCAUCAAACAGUUCAUGUUUCCUACUAUAUCUGGAAACUUCUCAAGUUUUGAGCAGCCAUCAAGAAUGAAAACUUUAAGCGAUUCCAUUUCAAGAUUGUUUGGGAGAAUCCUAAUACUUUGCAGCACAAGAUUCACAUAUUGAAGCUUCUUGUGAUGUGCAAGUGAUGGAUGGACCUCAGACAAACUUGUACAACCUUCAAGAAUAGUUCUCGAGAUUCGGAAUUCCAGUAAAAUCUGGAGUCUUGAUCAGGUUUAGUGAGUUGCUGAGAUUGAUGAUUUUCAAAUUAACUGCACUCUGCAAUCAGUCAGGGAGAAGAAAUAUGGAUCUACUAUCAUACAUAUAUAGGAAAACGAUAAAAAAAAUACAAAGGUCCUUAAAUUAGGUGAUCUCACCUUACACCCAUACCAUAAUUGCUCAAUACUAUUGUUAGCCAUGUGAAGUUCAACUAGCUCAUCCACCUGUAAACCAGCUGGCAAUGAUUUUGAAGGGUAAGAAUGCCAUUCAAGAAAUCGUAGCUUAUUGGAAAGAUCUUCAGGUCCUUCAGAAAGCUGCACGUUGUUGAUUUUGAGCAAUCUUAGUUUGCUCAUUUUAGAGAAGGCUUCCAUGUUCCAUUGUGAUUCUUUUAUUUCAGGCAUGUCUAGGAAAAUGGCUUCUAUUUUUUCUUUUCCCUGUCAACCAAAAGGGGAAUACAAGUAAAAAACAAAUACAAAGUAGAGAUGGAGCGUAAAUUAAAAUAAACUUCAUGAAAUCUUAUCAGCUACUCACUGUGUUGUCCAUCAGUGCAAGGCAGACAUCCUCGUAUGUCCACAAUCUACUACGCCUUCCAGGCUCUUCAGAGGAUUCACAACGAACAAUUUCCUUGCCCAUUAUCUGUAAUAAAUUAUGCAUCCAGAUUUGAUCCCGAGAGACACUUAUGAGUGAUUUCUCAAUAAGAACUUGUGUUCCAAUAUGUGCAUGGAAUCCACAGCUGUCAAGUAUCCUUAUUAUUCGAUCUUUUUUAAAUCCCUUAAGGAAACAAGCAAUGUCUAAAAAUAUUUUCUUCUCUAAUUCAUGGAGGCCAUCAAAACUAAUGCGAAGCACAUCAAUAAUUUCACGGUCAGGAAUAUAAUUUAGUCUAUUAAUGGCACUUCCCCAUUCAAGGAUACUUCUUCCAUGCAUAAACGAACCUAUAACUUCAAGAGCCAGUGGAAGGCCAUUAGCAUAGCCCACAACUUGCUUGGAUAGUUCCACGAAAUCUUCAACAGGUUGGUCAUUUUUGAAAGCUUUCUGGCUAAACAACGUAAGAGCAUCAUCAUCAUUCAAUUUCUCAGCCUCAUAUAUUCUAGCAACACCAUUUCUAGUCAACACUUGUUUAUCUCUGCUUGUUAUGAUAAUUCUGCUCCAUGGACCAAACCAUUUACUCUCCGCAGCCAGGGAUUCUAGUUGUUUAUGGUCAUCUACAUCAUCAAGAACAACAAGAAUCUUUCUACAUUGUAACCUCCGCUUUAUCAUUUCAAUUCCUCUAGAAGAAUCACAUAUAUUAGCGCGUUCCAUUAAGAUUUCAGAAAGAAGUUGUUCCUGCAAACGACGUGGUCCAUCUUUCUCAGAAAAAACUUCUCUGACAUUUGCUAAGAAGCAGCUGCCUUUAAAUUGCCAACGAAAGCUAUCAUAUACUACCCUUGCAACAGUCGUCUUACCUAUGCCACCCAUCCCACAAAUCCCUAUGAAGAUUGCUUCGCUAACUUCUUCACCUAUAAAACCAUUUAAUAUCUCUAGACGAGAAUCUAUUCCCACUAAUGUUUUGCUAACUGGCAUAGUGACGCUUAGUUUGUAGGAUAUGUAUUCAACAAUUAUAUUAAUUGAUUCCGAUUCUUUCCUGCAUAGGAGGGUGCAAAACAUUAAUCAUGUUGUGUGCAAAUCAAAUCAGAUAGUGAUAAUGGGAAAAUAAAGAUAUAGCUCAAAAAUGUAUGGCUGCUAGCCGGAAAUUAAUACAUCAAUCUUUGAGAAAGAUAAGGCUUUGACAAUAGAUAGCUUUAAUAACAAAGAGAAAAGGAAAGAAUAAACUAAAAAAGGAACUAAGAUUGUAUUAAUGCUAAGAAUGGUCCGUACAAUAUCUAUGUUAUUGCCUAUAGAAUCACACAGUUACUAAAGAAGCAUGCAUAUAAGAACAAAAACUCUUCAUUAAGUUUGGCUUUGACAGACCAAAAGGAAAAUGGAGUUCUUCUAUCAUAUUUUUUUAUCAACCACUAAGUUAUUUUUAUAAUUAUUUUUAACAAAAAUUUCAAUUAUCUUGCAUAGUAAACUUUUAAAAAACAACUUUAAAUUUAUUAAUUUUCGAGGUUUUUCCUAUAUGCUACCCAAAAAAUAUUUCUUAGACUAACAUAGUUUAAGUGGAUGCCCAAAUCCAAUCCACGCACCUUGAGAUGCACAAAUAUCACACAUGUUAAUAUUAUUCUUUUUUGCAAAUUAAUGGAUGAAAUAAUCGUAAUAAUAGAACUAAAGUUAACUAAAUAUACAAAUUGAGAAACCAGAUGAAUAAAUGGGCCAAUAAAAAAAAGAAAGGUAGAUUUUUUUGACAUGUAAGACCUGCAUGUCUCAAGUUGCAUAAGUGAGAUCUUUAUGGGUCUAUUUGCGAUUAUGAUAGGAAUUAUGAUUCAAAGUGUUUUUUGUUUAGAAAUACAUCAAAAUAAUAUUUUUUUAUUAUUUUAAAAAAAAUUAUUUUUGAUAUCAACAUAUCAAAACGAUCUGAAAAUAUAUAUAAAAAUAAUUUAAAAAAACACGGCAAACCACGUUCCCAAACGGACUCUACAACUCGUGAAACAAUGCUAGUUUGGAAAGUUUUUUUACCCACCUAUACUAGUUUGAAAUUGUUUUUACAUUAAUUUUAUGUUUUUUUAACAAAAAGGCACCUAUCAAAAUUUAAUUCCAAAUUAAAAAGAAAAACAUAAAAAUAAAAAUAUUCACAAUAUAUAUAUAUAUAUAUAUAUAUAUAUAUAUAUCUUUUAUUUAUAAAUAGUUGGAAUUUUUUAAUUAAUUCAUGAUGGAAAAUAUUUUUAUUUUAUUUUGAAAAGUUAAAACCAAUAUAUUCAAAAACUUUGGUCAAUUUUUUAUUUCUUAUGAUGAUUUGUUGUCAUUUCUUCACAAUUUUUUAUUUUUUAAGCUAACUUUUUAUUUGUUCAUGCUAGAUUUGUUUUUCAACAUUUUUAUACAUUUUAAUUUUUCUGUUUAAUAUUUAUUUUAUUUUCAAAAUAUAAAGAAAAACCUAAGAAUAGAAAGAAGUUUUAUAUAAAGAUUAGAAAUGCUUGAUCGCAUCAGUUCAAAAUAUCAUAAAAAAAAAAAAAAAAAAAAAACAUGCAUAUGAAAAAAAUACACAUUUACUAUCAUGCUUGUUCAUCAAUGAAAAAAAUACACGUUUCCGCUCGGUUACCUCUGAGGGAUCCACAUCAUAAAACUCUGAGGGAUCCACAUCAUAAAAAACUGGCAGAACAGUUUGGCCCAUCUCUUUCAUGCACUGAACAAUCUUGACAAGUUCAUCCAAGCACCAUGGUGAAGAUGCGUAAUCUCCUGAAAAUAUAAUGACUGAAAACCUUGAUUCUUCAAUGGCCUUCCAGAGAGCAGGUUCGAUGGGCUUUCCUCUCUCGAGCUCCCUAUCAUCCAUGUACACAUCGAUGCCUCUCUGUUUCAGAUUAGAAUAUAGAUGACUAGUAAAGUUGUUCCGGGUGUCUUUGCCUCUAAAACUAAGGAACACAUCAUACAUAUACAGUGGAGGAGGAUAAGAUGAAGAUGAAGAUGAAGAUGAGGUUAUUCCUUGCACGCUGGUGGAAGCCAUGAAAAUCCCUAUAGCGAUAAACUAGUACCGUGUGUAAGGCCUGCUCCUGUGGUCAAACAUGAAACAGAAGGUAAGAUCAAGAAAUUUGGCAAUUAAAUCUACCAAUUAGUAAUUUCAAGCUGGAACAUAUCAGAAAACACCAAAUUUCUACGAGUAAUUCACGAAUCUAGACGAAACAAACCGUGUGGUAAGUGUUGGCUAAAGAGGCACAAGAUCUAGCCAAGCCCAAUGACGUCGAAUUUUUUUCCGGUUCCUUGAGGUCAAGAACUCGUACUGGUAAGUUUACACUGUAAAGAAGAUGGAGUUUCGGUGGAGAAAAAGCAAAAAGAGAAAUGAAAGGGAUAUCGAACGCGCAUUGGGCAGCAGAGGCACCUUCCUGUCAAAAGCAGGGGUUAGGCCACAUACAUCACAAUUGAGUUGAUUCAUAUUUUUUAAUGAAUUCUCAAGUCAAGCAUUCCAAGAACUUUUGUCAGGAUCUGCCACACACAUCACAAUGGAGUUUAAAAUACAUAUUCUUUAACUACUUUUGUCUCUUUUCCAGCGCAUAAAGCUUUUGCAUUCCGACAACUUUCCAACAAAAUUUUUAAAACUGACCUUGAAAUUAAACAAGAAAAAAACACCAUAAAGCAAAAGUUCUAAGGUGAAUCACAACAAUCGUGCGAAGAUUCAUAUACUGCUUGGAGUUGUUACAAUGGUUAAAAGUUAUUUAAAAAAGCUAAUUAUAUUUUAAUAUAUUUUAUAUUAAAUUAAUUUUAAUAUAAUUAUAUAAUUAUUUUUUAUAUAAUAUAAUCAUGUUAUACAAUUAAUAUAAAUAAUAUGAAAGUUAAAAGAAACAAUUUUUAGUUUUCUAUUAUAUUAUUAAAAAAUUUAGGCUUUGAGGUUUGCAGGCUUUUCUCCUUCUUGUUCUGUUUUUAAAGAGAAAAACAAAAGCCUAUUGUAGAUAAAGAAACAUUUUUUAAUCGAUUAAUUUAGUUUUUUACUUGAUAUAAUUUUUCCAAUGAACUUUUUUUUUUAUUUAAUUGAUUUUUUAGUUUUCUUGAGUAUCAAUAAUGCUUAAUAUACUGAAAAUCAGGAAACCAAAUACCUUGAUAAAGUCUGCAAAAAAGCAAAGGGAUGAUUUGAUAUUAUCAGUAAGGAUAAUCAUUCUAAAAUUGUUGCUUUUUCUUCUUUUUAGAUAUUCAAACAUAUAAAGAUUUUAUCCGGUUGCUUUAGGUCAAGAACUCGUACUGGUAAGUUUCCUGGAUUUUCCUAUGGAUCUUUUUCUUACACUGUAAAGAAGAUGAGUUUCGGUGGAGAAAAAGCAAAAAGAGAAAUGAAAGGGAUAGCGAACGCGCACUGGGCAGCAGUCAGCAGAGGCACCUUCCUGUCAAGAGCAGGGGUUGGCCCCACACAUCACAGUUGAGGUUUGCAGGCUUCUUUCUUCUUCUUGUUCUGUUUUUAAAGAGAAAAACAAAUGCCAACUGUAUAUAUACUUUCUCCUUGCAUUUGGUUUUUUUCUACAUAGAGAUGUAAAAAUAGUAUUUUAGUAGAAAAAAAUAGUAUUUUAGCUAUUCAAAUAGCUAUGCUCCAAUGACUUUAAAUUAUAAUUUGGAUGACAAAAUUUAACAAUGAAAGGCAUAAUAAAAUAUAAUCUAUAAUAAAUAUCAUAUUGAUAGCUUUGUUUUAAAUAUUUAUAUAAUUUUUUGGUCUAGUAGGAUCGAAAUGACCCUUCCAAUGUAUAAAUUAUAGUUGUUUAAAACAAUACAUUUAGUCCAAAAGUUAGAAAAUAGCUUUGUUUUAAAUAUUUAUAUUAUUUUUUUCACAUAAAAUAUAUUAAUUAACAAAAGCUAAAAUAUAUAGUGAAAUCACUGUAACUGGUAAAACACUGGAGGUUUUAUCUUUGGUUUGUUGGAAAGUAAAGUUGUUUUUUAGAGCUGUUUUGGUCCUUUGAUUUAUUUGUUCAAUUCACAUACGCACUUUGAUUUACAGUUGGUUAGAAAAAAAUAAAUUGUUCAUCUCUAUGGUUUUGGGAUUCUCAAUGAAUUGAUAAUGAGGUCAACGACAGUGACUGUAUACCUUCAUUCGACUUCAUUUUUAUCAGGUAACAGUAAUCUUUUUGUUUUCACCUAUAUGAUAUUUUAGUUUAAAAUCUAUUUAGGGUACUAAAUACUAAUAUGAACAAGCUGCUAUAAUGUUUUUAGUUUAAGAAAAAAAAAAAGCUUUAAAAACUUUAUUUUAACCAUGAUUUUUUAUUUUCAAAAUUUUUUUCAUUUAAAAAUACAUUAAAAUAAUAUUCUGAAGAUCAACAAACCAAAACAAUUUUAAAAUAUAAAAAAUAAUUUAUAUUUUUUUAAAAAUAAAAAAAUAAAAAACAUAGUUUUAACUGUAUUUCUAAAUGAUCUUUUCAAAUAAUAGCAACUUUUUAUUAUCCAAAAAAAGAAGUUUGAAUUAUCCAGAAAACCAUGACCAGAUCUGGAGAAGGGUUCCUUCACUCUAGAAGAUGAGUGGCCUUUGUUAAUUUUGUAGUCAAGUGAAAACAAACUAUAUUAGAUUCUUAGAACCCUUUCUUGAUCAAUUGGUUAAUUUCUGUUAGCCAAUGCUAUACUGUGGGCAUGAUUCCUAUUUUCUGUUAGCCAAUGCCAUUUUCAAUCAUUUUCAGCAAAAAAAAAAACCAACGAACAACGUACUAAAUGAUGCAAUCAAUGACAAAAAGUAUGAGGAUAAAGAAAGGAAUCACUAUUAAUAAUUUUGUUAGACUAUUAUGAAUGAAAGGACACUUUAAUGUAUGAAAUGCUAGCUAUAAUUAUUUCCACGAAAUGUAUGUUUCUAAAACUCAAUAUUUAUAUUUUUCAAAUCACUUCACGUACGUCUGCUACAAAGAACAUUCAUCACAUUAAAUUAAUACGACUUAAACAACUGCUACUUGGCCAAGCUGUUGGGUCACGACUUAAACAACGAAGACCAAGCUGUUGGUCUCUACUCUCUACUUCGCACGUCCUCGGGAAGCAUAUCCUUAGAAUGGAGAGCUGGCCACACGAGACAGUUGCUACCUGGCCAAGCUGUUAGGUCACGACUAAAACAACGAAGACCAAACAAUUGUUAUUAGUAUGGUGCUAUCCUUUGUCACAAAUUGUUAAUUAUAUAAUGCCUACCAUUUCUUAAUUAUAAAUUGUCAGUAAAACACAUAUCAUAACAACACCUACCUAGCUAUCUUAUAAAUUAAUAGAACACCGUAUACAUAAACAACUCAUUUUACAUGUUAUCUAUGCAUAAUAUAUCUGUUGUUGCACUCUUUCCGAGCUAAUUUCAUGUGACAUGAGAUAUACAUAAAUAUUUAAGAUUACUAAGUAACAAACACACAAAUAACAAUUCUUUUAAGUUCUUCUUCUCAUUGUUAUACAUUAUUUUUCUCAUGUGUGUUUGUUAACAUAGUCAUCACAGAGUUCCCUGUUCCAUGAAAAACUUGUUUUUGUAGGAGUUCAUGAACCACAAGCCUAACCCAAUUAGAAAAUUUCAAAAUUCAUUACCUAGGUUUAAUUUGAUGAAUUUUCAACUUCGUCAAUAACGCCUUCUGUUGGAACUAGAAGAAAAGCUAGUUUAGUCCCUUUUCUUUUCUAGUUCUUUCCAUUGAUGAUAACUUAGAAAUGACAGGACAAGGGAGAGGUAACGAUCUCCCCACUACAGGAGCACCAUCUCCUUCAACAAAUCCCUCAUUGCAUGAAAUUGCUCAGUAAAGUUAUUUUAGCCACAUAAGAAUUGAUCAGUAAGGGAAAAUAUGCAUGUUUUUUUUUUCUGUUUUAGUUUAGUUUAGUUUAGUUAUUUCUUUUUAAUGUGAAUUGAUCACAGUGUUAAUUUUAUGCUUUUAUGAGUUUAAUCUUCUAUUUAAUUUCUAAAAUGAUCAAUUACAUUUGAGGGAAAAGAAUUAAUCACUGGUAGGCCUUAAUCUUAUUUAUUCUUUUAUUUUUUAGUCCUUUUAAAUUAUUAAUCCAUUUCUUAUUUUUAUGAAUUUUUUUUUUAACAUAGAAGAGAAUAUCUCAAAAUUAAUAACCAAAAUUAUAGCAUCAAUGAGGAAAGGGCUAACGAUAUGGGAUGGAUUAAUAGAAGAAUGGUUGGAUUAAUAAAUCUCAAAGAUAGAGGCCUUAUUAAAACAAAAUCAAUAACAUAAGAACUUUAAGCUCAUUAACCCCCGUAUUACUAAAUAACGAAAGGAAAUCCCAGCCAUUUUUUAUGUAAAAAUUGAACUCUCGUAAUUGAGGCCGCUAUUUUAUUAUGUAAAAACUCACACGGAGGAAAAGAACCAACCAUCAGCGGCAUCACCCUCUUUGGGAUCUUGAUUUUCAUCGGAUUAGCACCCAGCACAUCAAGUUGGCUCGACAGGACUGCCAAGGUACUGUGAUUCUGAAUAAUUAUUUUGCUAUGCAUCAAAUAAUUGCGGCUGCAGCUGAUAAUCCACCAUAUAUUGGGUCGCAUGUGGGAUAUUUUUGUUUAUUAAUUAAUAAAAAAUAAUAAUUAUAGAGGUUUAUUAAUUAAUAAAAAAAAUACCUUCCCAAAUUCAUAUUCUAUUUAAAAGCAUGCAACAUCACAUGGGUUCUGCAGAAAUUAAUCGUGGCAGGUAACACCAAAUGGCUUCACGUGGGUUCUACAACAAUAACUCAUAGCAGGCAACAUUACAUGGGUUCACAUGGGAUCUGCAGCAAUAACUCAUGGUUUCUCAGCAUAGACAUUUUGACUUUUUCCACGCCUAUAAAAAAGGACUCCAAAUUUUUCAGAGGACAAACUAUCUUUUUCCCCAAGAAAAUUUUACUCUCUAAAAACUCAUAUUUGUAACCCAUACUCAUUCACCACUGUAACCAAUAUCUCCUGUAUUGUUCUAUAUUAUAAAUUUAAGUAAGAUUUUAGUAAUUAUAAUAUUAUUAUAAUUUAUAUUGCUGUUAUAUUUUCUGUUUUAUACAAAUAUAUUAUCUGUUUGAUCAAGGAUCCUGAUAUUACUGGUCUUGCCUUGAUCAUUCACAUCAGAAAUUUGUAUGUUUUUAUAAGUAUCCAUUUUCUUGUUACUUUAACAAAAAUCAGUAUAUAUGUUGGAAACCUGUGACUCGAUUUUUCAGAUAAUUUUCAGGUAUAACAACGAUACGUACUGAGUUUUAUUUCUUUAUUUCUUUUUUUGUGUUUAUCUGCUAUAUAUUAUUUCAAGUUGGAUGAAAACAAGCAAUAAACAAGGAAGUAAUUGGACCAACAUAAUCAUUGAAAGUAAUUCAUACAAUUCGUUGAAUAAAAAGCUAACCCUCCACAAUUCGCAGUACUCAUUCACAGUAGUAAUCACCCAUAAUCAAAAUAAGAAAAAUAAGUCCCACCAAUUUUAUAGCUCCUACAUAUUUUUUUAUUAAAAGAUUGAUCUUAAGAAAAUUAUAUAAUUAACUGAGAUUAAAAAAAAACAUUAAAUUAAAUCCAAAAACCAUUCCUCGCCACUACAACCUUAAUUUUCACAGCUCCAUCCUGGUAACAAAAUAUAAAAUGUUUUUUUUUAAGAAAAAAUAAUUAUAAAAAAUUUAAUUAAAUCCCAAACACAAUUUCAACCAUCAAUACAAACAUGAUGGAUUCCUCUAUCAUCAACCAUUUUUUUUAUAAAAUCUCAAAUAGUAAAUAAAAAAAUUCAAAACAACAUAAAAAAUGGAUUCUUUUUAAAUAUUAUCCAAAAACAAGAGAAUUUGGGUUAGUGAGUUGUGAGGGGUUAAUGAGUUUGAGGGAUCGUAUACUAUUGAUUUUGUCUUUGAAAGUUUUUGAGUCCAAUCAUUAUACUAUUAUUUGUCCAUGCCUUUGAUCUCUCCGUGGCUAACAAUGUUAUUUGCCCAAUAACUUUAAAAUAUUCUUUGGAAUAUACUUUCAUACUUAAAAAAAUAAUAAAAAAGAAAGAAUUGAUUAAGAGCUAAAAAAGGCUUUAAACAACAAAUAAAAAAGAUAAAACCAAAAACAUAAAAUUGAAACCAACAAGUCCAACCAAUUUUUUCUUUCCUUCAUUUAUAAUUACAUGUUUAUUAAUUAAAAAACAUGCAACAAAAAUUUAAUUAUGAGAUCGAGUAAAAUAAAAAAUAAAAAACACGGUAUACAUAAUUAUAUAUACAUAAAAGUCCUCGGCACUGCAACGACUACAUCAGCGGCAUCACCCUCUUUGGGAUCUUGAUUUUCAUCGGAUUAGCACACAACACAUCAAGUUGGCUGGAAAGGAGUGCCGAGGUGUGAUUCUGAAUAAUUAAUUUGCUAUGCAUCAAAUAAUUGUGGCUGCAGCUGAUAAUCCACCUGGUUUGACAUCAAAUGAUAAUUCACAUCGUUUUUUUGAAGGAUUGUGCUGCAAGUGGUAGCCGACUUGGUUGACCGAAUAGGCUGUGGACCAAGGAGAUCAAUUUCCAGGAAAUCCAUUUCAUUUGAUUGUGGUUCCUCCAGGCCACGGAUAUCUGCUGUGGAGUGUGGACGAAGGAGAUCAAUUUCCAGGAAAUCCAUUUCAUUUAAUUGGGGUUCCUGUUCAUAGACAGGGGGUGAAAGCGAAUGCAACCAUGUGCCUGAUGUGAUUGUAAUUUUGUUUUUAUUAUUAACAUGAGUAUUAGAGCAAUUUCUAUAUAUCAUGAUUAAUUAUACAGGCUUUAAAAUUAAUAAUUAUAUAAAUUAUUAAUAGCUGUAAAGUUUAUUUGAGAUAGCUAAUUGAAGUUAAAGGCAAGAUAAUUAUUAAGAGUGUUUAUUGUCCUAUUCAUUUCAUAAAAACAUAAUCUGAAAUAAACUAAAAAUCAAUUCAACCAGCUUUAAUUAGAUUCAUUUGAAAUCAAGAAACCAAACAGCUUGAUAAGACCUGCAAAAAGCUAAGGGAUAAUUUGAUAUUAAGGAUAAUCUAAUUAAAGGAAGUUUACUUUUCAAAAAAAAAAUGAGAUGAAACAAUUACAAACAUGUAGUAUAAUUUCAAUUCACAAAAGAAAAAAAAAAGGGUCAUCUCAGUGGAACAACAUAAAAAAGCAAAAGAAAGUUUUUUCAAAAGUGAAUGAAUGAUCAAUGUUUUUUAUUUUUUUCAAAAGCUUCUAUAUAAUAAUAAAUAAUAACAGGAAUAUAAAAAUAAUGACUAGUCCCUGACUUGAUGUAGUUCAAUCCGUUUUAGAAUUUUAAAACUGAAAUUAAAUCGAAUCGAAGUUUUUUUUUUUAAAAUUAGUUUUUUAAGUUUUUUUUCACACAAAAUAACGAAAAAGGUCUGCUCAGUGGGACAACAUAAAAAAGGAAACGAAAAAUUUGGUCAAAAGUGCAUAAAUGAAUUGACACAAACAUGGGUAAAUUCAGGGGUUUUGUGUUGUGCCGGUGGUGGAAACAGUUUUUGUUGCUUGUAAAUAUGCUCAAGACUUGUAUAGAGCAUCACUUUCGAGUUGUGUACGGUGAUCUUUGUGAUAUCUAUCCAUUAAUAUAUAGUAUUUAAUUUUCGAGAUGAUAUAUUAUUUUAAAUAAAAUAUGUAAUAAUUAAAAGAAUAAGAAUCAAAUUUGAUAAAUAAAAAAUUUUAAUUAAAAAAUAAUAAGAGAAAAGUAAAUAACAAUCAUAAAAAUAAAAAUAAAAAUUAAUAUAAAAAUCAAAUUAAAUCAAAUUUGAAGGGAUAAAAUUAAAAAAAAAAAGAUUCAAACAAAAUAUAUAGCAAUCAAAAGUUUGAGGAUCAAAUUUGACAUAAUUAGCAAGUAAUAUGAUAUUUCUAAAUUUUUCACAACUUUUAGAAAGUGUUUUCGGCCUAAAAUAAAAGAAAAAUACUUUCCUGAAAAUCAAGCUAAAUUUUUCGUUGAUCAGAAAGUUUUUUUUAUUGAUCAACUUUUUUAAUAAUAAAUAAACAUAAAAAAAUUUGGAAAAUAAUUUCCCAAAAACACUUUCCAAUAAACACACCCUACAUAAACAACUCAUUUUAGAUGUUAUCUAUGCAUAAUAUAUCUGGUGUUGCACUCUUUCCAAGCUAAUUUCAUGUGAUAUGAGAUAUAUAAAUAUUUAAGAUUAGUAAGUAACAAACAUACACAAAUAACAAUUCAAAAUCACACCCAUGAACAAUCACACAAUACACUCUUUUAAGUUCUUCUUUUCAUUGUUAUACAUUAUUUUAAGCAACAAUCUCUUAUCCAGGGAUUUACUAUAGUCGUAUUUGAUGGGCACAUCGCAGAAGCUUCCAAUAAAUGCAGUUUGGAGUUAUUUUAUUAUUCAUAAUAAUAAAGUGUAACAAGGGGCUCUAUAUUCAGUUAAACAAAUAGAACGCAGAAGGUGAUAAAUGUUAAUAUUUCAUUUCAAAAGCUUCAAUGUAGAUUUUUUUUUUCAAGAGCAUUUGAUGUGCAGCGUUAUAUUUAACCCCCACUCUUAUCACGUUUAAUUAGUAUUUAAAUUAAAUAUAAAUAUAGAAGUUCUUAUGAUUGAUGCUGCUAUCCACUGAGAGAUUACGAUGAAAAGAAAAGAAAUUAAACCUCGUCGUAUUAUAGAAAUACUGGGCACAACUUUUGUUACCCCUAAAUUAUUAUACAAGCUCGACUCACCAUUACCUCAUAUUCAUCCAUGUAGGUUAUGGUGAGCUGGACUCAUCUAAUAUAGUAAUAUUAACAUAAAAUCUUACCAAGUUAAAAUUUGCAAAGGUAUUUUUUUAAAAAAAAUUCUACAUGUUUUUUUUUAUCUUUCAACAUUUCCCUUCUUAAAGAUCGAGCUUCAUAAUUUAUUGAUGUUUUCUUUUUAUAAGAUUAUUUUAGUUUUAUGACCCGUAUUGCGAUUUUAGCCGGUAUUGCGAGUUUCGCAGAUUGACCUAGAUUUUUUUUUUUUUAAUUUCAUCAUUCAAUAUUGGAUUGAUUAUGAAUUAAGCUUCAUGAUUUAAUUCAGUUUAUUUUCUAUUUUUUUCAAAAAUUAUAGUUUAUGAUAACACUUUAUAUCCUCACUAACACAUAUAAAAAAGUCCUACAAAAAUAUCUAAUUAUUAACAAAAUUAUUAUUAUUAUUAUUAAACUAAUAACUAUAAAGUUCUUAUUUUAAAUAUUAUAAAUUUUUCAUUGAAUUAAAAAAAAAAACUUAGUCACCACCCUCUUAACCAAACCAAAAAACAAAAGAAAUCCAUAAAUCAAGUUUAGAAUCUCAAACUUCAAUAUUCCUAUCACAAACAACCAACUUUGAUGUUCCCAUCACAAACACUAAUUCCUCUCCCAUUGCAAUUAUUCCAUCUCAAACCUUUGACUAGGGAGUGUUUAUUUAGUUAAACUCAAUUAUUUCUUGGGUCUAGCCAGCGUUAGAUCCAACACGUGUUGGCUUGACACAUUACCAAUUAAGCUCAAUCAUGGUUAGGUCUAAUUAACGCUAGACCUAUCAAGAUUUGGAUAUGGCGGUGGCUAGACCUAGUCAUUUCUUGGGUCUAGCUAGUGCUAGAUCCACCGCGCCUAGGUCUGGCUAACACCAGACUCAAUAUGUUUGGGCUUGGCGCAUUGCUAUUUAUAAACGAAGCAAGUUCAAUUUUGGUGUAAAUAUUGAUGUAGAUUAUAUAUAUUAAUGUUUAUGUAUUUAUGUGUUUAUAUAGUUGUAAAUAUAAAUAAUAAAAAGUGUUGGCGCAUCUAAGAGAAAAGUAUAGAAGUUUAUUAAUUAAUUAAAAAAAAGUACCUCCCGAAAUUCAUUUUCUAUUUCAAAUCAUGCCUACCAAACCGACAAUUUGUUAGGCUUAUAAAAACAAACUAUUACUAAAUUAAUAUUUUUGAUAGGGUAUGGAUAUUGUGUAUUAAUAUUUACAUGUAUGUUGUGUUUGUUUAGAAUUUUGAAUAUAAAAAUGUUAAAAAUAUAUUUAACUAAAAAGAUAAAAAGAAAAUUAUAGAAUUCAAAACAUAAAUUAUAUUGUGAUAUAUUUUCUGUCUUUUUUUUUAUUGAAUUUAAAAAUAAUGAGUGAACUUGGAGCAAUCCAACCACAAAAAGAAAAUGACAUAGGGGGAGGGUAUGUACGUAGUGGGAGAAGCAACUAAAUAUAGGGGAAGAAAAAAACAUUCAGCUUAUUUACAAAUCAUUUUCAAAAGAAGGAAAAUUGAAAAACUCUAUUUCUGGCCUCUCAGGUAAAGGAACCUGAAUGAAGAAAUUAAACGAGAAAGGUUUUUUAAUUUUCCUGCAGGGAGAGAGAGAGAGAGAGAGAGAGAAACCUGAAGAGAGGAAAUUAGGGAUUAGGGAUUUGGAAGCAUUGGAAAUUUAUAUAAAAAAUAAUUAAAAAAAAAACAUUAUUAAAAGUCUAGCUAAUCAAUCAUAAGUCAUAACUUCAAAAGUGCAACGCAAAAAUUAGAGCAAUUUAAUUAUAGGCUCAAAUUGUACGUAAGAAAUUAAUCAGUUUCGGCUAUUUUAGCUUGUGACCAGCAGUACAUGCUAUACUACUAGCAGCAUCAUAUUAUAGGUUCAAUAUUUUUUGAAGCAUCUGCCUGUCCCAUAAAUCUCAAGAACAUGAACAAAAGCCAUGAACCUGGCUGCCUGCAGACAGGAAUGUUUCUGUAUCUGUUGGUAUUUAGCAAACAUAUCUGUCCAUAUAGACUUUGUUAAGCUCUAGUUUGUAAGUUUAUAUAAAUUGCUGCAAACUUCCUGUUCCCAUUUCCAUUUCCAAAGCCACGAGCUGCUCAACAACAUUGUAAUCAUUUUGCUUUCUCUUGUGAGACUGCUAUUGCUAAAAGAAUUAUCAAUAAAUAUCUUCCGAGAAGUGGUUUACAGAGAUGGACUUUCUUCCUCUUCUUCUGUUUACUCUUUCCCUUUCAUUUUUUCCCUUCCUACCAAGUAGAUAGGUGUUUAACUUGAAGAUUAUGAGGGUUAUUUUACGCCCGAAUCGUGUACAGUAUUUGUGAAGCUUAUUUUCUUAGCGAACUAUAUUGUUUUUCUUUUUGGUUUCUAGCUGUAUGGUUAUGGUGAUUAUGUCGCUUUCCAUGUCAUAGAAUCCGUGGAUAUCUGGGAAAAUCUCAUUCAUUGGGACUUCAAGCAUGCAGUUGUUGACAGCUUCCUUGAUUGUAGAUGAUGGGGAACGUUGUUUAACAAUUUGUUCUCUCUUUCCCAGUUCUCUAGUUCAAAAGAAAUGGAGAUGCCUAUCUUUAUGAUCUCGGCAGCACGCAUGGCACCUUUAUUAACAAGAAUCGGGUCAGCAAAAAUACGCUUUUUAUAUUUAAAUUGUAUGCGUUUCUUAAAAGGUCUGAUGCAAGUGAUUCACUGAUACUGUCGAGGGAACUUGUGAUGUGUGAUCCAUCACAUGUUAUCCAAUAUAAAUGUGGCAAAUAUUUGUUAGUAGUCUGUCAUACAGUUAUGUAAUCUUGCUUGAAUAGCAAGGACGCAUCAAUUGCUGUAAUGUAUCAUGUGUUGUAGGAAGUUGUCCGGAAAAUUCUUAGAGAUGCUAAGAUUCGGCAAGCCUCACUCCAACGAGCAAGGUUGGGAGCAGCUCUUGCUGAUGGUAUCUCAUGGGACAUGGGAGAAGUAGUUGCUAUUGAAGAAGCUGAGGUUAUUGUCAGUCCAUACAUUUUCUGGAUGUAAUCUUGUGAGAAUUAUUGUUUUUGGCUUUUUAUUACUGUCAGCAGAUACGACUUCUCUUUUGUCCACACUUUUCCCUAAGCUGCUCUGCAAUAAAUAUAGAACAAGUGAGAUUACCUUUGUAUGCACUUUUGUGUAAAGAGAAUUGCUUAAAACUAUUAUUUGUUCUGUAUGAAGCAUGCAUGUUGGACAAUAGUAGUGUUCAUUUAUAGUUGUCAACACUCUGCCAGCCUUACCUCCUUGUUUCCUCCUUGUACAGAAAUGAUGCUUUUUUAGAAAUCCAGAAAAAGAAAAAAGAUAAUCAUUGAGAAUUUGUUGUUCAAUCCCACCUAGGAACUUGAAGACCAACUAGUUUACGUACUCGUGUCAAAUUUACCUCCAGGUCUAUUUCAUUUUUUGGAAUUAUCUGGUAUACCAGAACUUCUAUAAAUCCUAAAUUAGACUCUUUUGCAUGAUAAAAAGCCGAUACUCUUCUCUGUUUGUUUAUGUUGUUUUGGAUAACUAGGAUGAUGUUGAUGAAGUAGCAUGGCACACUACAAAGGGCAGCUUACAGAGAAGCAGGAGAAAACCCGUGAUAAAAUAAUAAAAAGGUAAGUGGUUUUACGUUUCAUACUUCGAGUUCCUCAUUUCUAGAUAUUUGAUGUCAAACACAAUGAUGAUUUCGCUAGCCUUGAACACGAGACCAAUCUGCAUCCAGUUUUUCAAUCCCCUUCAGAUUUAUGUUCUAGUGUCAUUUAAAAUGUUCAUCCUGUUACCUAUACUCCAAAUCGAAGGGCUAUUUUUAGUGAUGACUUCUUUCCUUUUCUCUUUCUUCUCACUGUCAUGCCUUGCUUUUUCGCUGGUAUUAGAAGUGUUCAAUCUAAAUGGUUGUAUGGUUUAUUGAUGGAGAAGAAAAAACAUUUCAUCAUCGCUGCAUUAGUCGCUCAUUUCCUGAUUUUCUUGUCAGUGCUGAAUAAACUGUGCAGCUCGGAAAGGAACUAGCCUUUCUACAAUCUGAACUGGGCAGGAUCUUGUUUCUAUUGAAGAUUGCUGAUCCAUCAGGAGAAGCUGAUCAGAAAAGGGAUUCGCGAGUGAAGGAUAAGAAACCUGAUAAAGCAGAGGUGCCUGUUUCUGCCACCAAAAAGCAACCACCCACCCAGGGGACCAAAGAAAAGUAGUGCAUCGGGAAAAUUGACCGAUGUCUCCAGACUAGAUUGUCAUUGAUGUUUUUGGUGUUAAAAUGAAAAUUAUCAGGGUGUUAUAAUUAUAAAAUUUUUACUAUAUUAAAAUAGUAUUUGUAAAUAUUCAUGAUUAAUAUUCUAUUAAAACUGAACACUGAAAAAAAAAAUUAUUCUCAUAAACUGAAAUAUAAGAAAUACUUAGAAUUAAUAUGCAGAUGUUUGUCAAAUGAUAAGUAUAAUGAACUGACUCUUAAGAAAAUUUCAUAUAAAAAUAUCAUUUAUAUUCAUAGAAAGGCUCACGUGAUAAAUAUAUAAGUAAUCAUUAGAUUUGAAAUCACUAAAUUAUCAUAUAUAAAAAUUAUUAUAUUUUGAUCUUGACCACAUGUUAUCAUAAUCAAGGGUAACAAACAAUCAAAUAUUAGACAUAACAAAUAUUUCAAAAAAAAUUUGACAUCACAUUAAUCUUUUCAAGCAGUUACUCUAAAAAGUUACCUAAAACUUAUUUUAUAACUAAAACGUGCAAACACAAUAAACUCUCCUUGAACCUCAUUUAAAAACUUAUUUGAAUUUAUUAUGUUACUCACACUUGCAUCUUCUUCAUAUGGUUUAACUAAAAAGUUUUCAAAAAUUCAACAACUAAACGAGACAAAAUAGAGUCUUUCUUGAUUUUUUUUUCACAAACUCACUUGGACUUAUUGUAUAAAGUCCAUUUUCUUUCACACUAUUUUUUCUUGUUUUUAUGAUCAGGUCUUAGAGGUAAUCCAAUAAGUUAGAUAUUUCUAUUCUUAAAAAUAAAAGAACAUGAAUAUAAUUUACUAGAAAUAGUGAUGGCCAUAUCAUAUAGCCAUGACCUAUUCAAAAUGACAUAUUGUAUAUCUAUUGGAUUCAUAUCACACCAAAUUUUAUAAUGAUAAUCUAAGAAUUUGAUAGAAAAAAAAUAUAUUUCUCUGAUUGCUACUAAGGUGGUGUUAAUCCAUGAUAUGUUAUAUGACUUAUAAUAUGUAAUAGACUUUAAAUCUAAACGAGUUACAAUAUUAGAAAAUACUACAUUAAUACAACUUUUAUUAUCAAUGGUCAUUUUGCGACUUUUAUCCACACACUUGAUAUAGGUUUGAAAAAUAGCAAUCAUUCUCCAAUUUUCAGUUCUCUCGGGUAAUGUCAAGGCACAUUUGACUAUACCUAACCUAGUUGUCACAAACUCUAUAGUAUUAUACUCACGAUUGAUUCUAAAGAUAUCACUCAAGAUUGAGUCUAUAAUAAUUAUAAAUUUACAUGACAUAAAUACAAGCAACACUAGCUUAGCUUGUAGAUCACAAACAUAUCUUUUAAGUAAAAACACAAUACAAAAAUAAAGCUAUUUUUUUUAAAAAAUAUGAAGAUUAAUCAAGAUUAUAAUAUAUAUAAAAAACCUAUGAACAUGCAAUACUAAACCUUUAAAUGUAAAAGGGUCAACCAAACACUUAUCUCAACUUUUUACAAAUUUAGGCAACUUUGAUAAAUAAUAAAAAGGAUUAGUUGCUAAAUAUUAAUGACAAAGUUAGUUGAUAAGUAAAAAUAUAUAGAAUAAAAUGAAAGAUGGGAUUUUUCUCUAUUAAAUUUAUUUAUUUUAUAGGCAUAAAAAUAAUAUUAAUGACAACUUUGAAUAACAAGUACAAAAAUAGAAAAAUAAAAUUCAACUAAUCAAAAGAUUUUGUUAUUUAUCACCACCAUGCUUGACAGGAUCAUGCAAGUUAAGUUGUUAAUAAUGCAGGUAGCAACGCUCACUUAGUGUUGGAUAACUUGUCUGUUGAUGUCAUUAUUUUUUUAAAAAAAUUACUUUAAUUUUUUUACUACAAUUUUUUUAAUUAAGAUAGAAGAAAGAAGUAAAAAAAAUACAAAUAAAAAUAAUAAUUACAAAAUGGAAAUUUGGCAGAAGACUCAUUUAAUUCCAUUCUCUUUCAUGUCUCUCUCAGAGUUUGAUUUCCUGUGUUGUUAUGAUCCUCAUACAAAUGAACAGAGUAUGGCUAUUGCUGGUAUGGAUUGAUUUGUAAUGGUGAAUCUCAAAUGCGGCCAUCUGGUGGUUGUUAGUGUUUUGUUUUCUGUAUGUGGUGGUGGCUAAUGGGUGUUGCUUUGGUGGUUAAGAAGAUGCAUUGGAACUAUGGUGGGUCACAAUGAUCACAAGUCUCUUCAUUCAUUCUUGUUCAAUGCAAGAACCCAGCGAAGCCUAUUCCCAGAACAAAAUAAAUAUGCUUGCUAUACAACAGCAUUCAGAGCUGUGUCAAAACUCACAGACCAAAUGAAGAUCUUCAAUGCUUGACGACUCCUUUCUAGAUACUAUAUACAAUAGAGAGGUUAGUCUCUAGCAGGAAGUUCUUCAUUAGAUCACAGGUUUCCAUAGCCAGGCUUGGCAAGGAACAAAGAAUUAAUGACACCCAUAAAAGAAGGGGGCCACGUUGGUGUAGCAAUGAGAGGAGGAGCCCUUGCACUGAAUCAGUUAAAGAAAUAAGGUGAUUCCAACACUUCCCUCAGCUCAAAGUCUCCCCGGUCAGGCAAGGGCGGAAAAGACAACGUGGGAAAAGACUUUUCAAAGCUCUCCAACAACUGCAUACAAAUCCAACAGUAUAAAUGAUGAGUUCUGCUAAAAAAGAAAAAACCCUCAGACUUGGAUUUGACACUGCACAAUUCUUUUAAAUGCUAAUUCAAGUUGAAAUUUAUAGGCAUUUUGUUUUAUCCCAAAACAUAAUUGAAACAGCAGAUGAGAACAUAUUAUAAGGAAUGCUUUAAUUAACUGCAACAAGUGUUGUUUCUUUAAACAUAUGGUACGUAUCUCUUUUCUUUGUUUUUUUAUUCACAACCAAAACAACCGCAAUCGAAUAAAGCUAGUAAAAAAUAGUUAAUUUCCUCUUAUCCGCUCUGCCAAAUAAACUUCAAAAAUAUUGCAUUGGGUUUUUGCCUCCUGCAAAUAUAUAAUGAUGCCAAUGAAGGGGCCAUUGCCCUUAUAAGUUUUAGAACAAUAUAGCAGUGCUAAUACUUACAUUCUCCAAUAUAGGUGUUUCAUAGAGUUCAACAAAUUUUUCCCUCAGUAUCCUGUUCAUUUCUUCCACAUCACAUGCAUGCGUCCAAUAUGAAUCGUGAACUCCUGUGAUGGUAUGCCAAUAUGCAGUAAUGAGAAAUCAAAACUAGGAAUAGGACAGCAAUUGAGACAAAAUCCAGCUAUGAGUGAGAAACCUGCAAAGUUUAAGCCUGCCCCUUUGCAGGCAACUGCAGUCAUCAUCAUAUGAGAACUAUCAAGGGAAUGAACAAAAUUUGGUGGGAAAGCUGUUCCCCCUUUGUUUUAGUAUUUUGGUCACAGUCCAGACUAAAUAAAGUAAAAGAACUGCCAAACUUUGAGAUCCAAGAGCCAGAAGGUACAACCUUUUCCCCCUUUGUUUUAGUAUUUUGGUCACAGUCCAGACUAAAUAAAGAAAAAAAUCAGGGCAAUUUAGCUAGACAAAAAGCCAAGGCACCCACUGAAGCCUACCAGAAAUCAUGUUCAGAAAAAUUGGUUCAGAAAAUUGGGAAACAGCUAGCAGAAUGUACCAAUGUAUACUAUAUCUGUGAUGUUUUGUAAUAAAAAGGAAUGAGAAAAUACAAUAAAGCCCUUGGAGGCUUAAAGAGAGGGUAAAUGAUUGAAGGGUAUUGUGGUAAUUGACCAAUAGUUGAUAAAUAUAUAUAAGAAAAAAAAAAAAAAGAAUGAUCUGAUUUUGAGAGAAAGAGAGUUACGGGAGAAGAGAAGAAAAGAGGAAGAAGAAGAAAAGAAAGGAGAGAAGGAAAGAAAGGAGAAAAGAAGUAGAGGAAAUAAGUAAAAAGGUAAGAUUUAUGGUUUUAAGUGUAUAAUAUGUUAAAUUUCGGUUUUGAUUAAUUUUGAGAGUUUUGAAGUUUGUAUUUUGAGUUAAUUGAUGAAUUAGUUUGAAUUAAGGGGUUGAUUGAUGUGGAUAUUUGAUUAAUUAGUUGAUUUUGAGAGAUUGAAUUAAAGGAUAAUGAUUUUGAGUUAUGAUUUUGUUUAAAUGGUGAAAUUGUGUUAGAAAUCAGGGGAUAACAGUAGGUGAUCUGUUGAAAUUCUGAGUUUGAGGUUGAAGAUGACGAAAAUUCAGUUUGGUCCCUCAAUUUAUGGAAAUUGCAGUUUAGUCCCCGAACUUUGGAAAUUUUACAGAUUGGUCCCUGGGGCAUAAAUUGAGGUUCUGAACAGAACUGAGGAUGAUUUAAGGACAAAAUUCCAGUAUAAUUAAUAUUUUCAGUUUGGUCCUCCAAUUUGACAAAAAGUAUAAUUUGACCCUAAAAAUUUGGUAAAGUUCCAGAAUGGUCCUUGGAGCAUAAUGAUAUAUCCUGGACAGAAUUGAGGAUUAAUUAUGGACAGAAUUUCAGUAUGGUUAUAUAUUUACAAUUCAGUCCUCAAAUUUUGGUAAAAUUACGUUUUGGUCCCUGUUUUGGAAAAUUGUCGUUUUAGUCCCUAAACUUGGGAGAUUAAGCCCGGUUUAUUUUAUGCUUUGGGAUCUUUUGUUUGAUCUGUUUUUGAGUAUAUUUCAUAUAUUUAUUGUAGGUUCUCCUAACGAUCCUUAAUCGAUUUCCGGGUCUUUUGUCUGACAUUCCUUUUAGUUCUAUAUUGUCCGGGUGAGUGAAUAAUCUUUAAUAUGCAUAUAAUAUAAAUAAAUAUGUAUGUUGAUUAUACAAUGAGUACGACUAGUAAGUUUCUUGAAUAUUUAUAUAUGUUGCUUUAUUUUUCGAGUACUCAUUUAUUCUUGAAUUUGCAUUCGCAAUCUGUCAAAGUAAAUUCUAUUUGAUAUGAUAUACGUUUCUUUGAUGAUUAUGUGAAUAUCUGUUAUGCCUUGAUAUGGGACUUGUCAGUACUCCAUGCUAACGGAGAAUAGUUAGCCUGUGUGCACAUAGUAUUCUGUUACCUAGCUGGUGAGAGAGGCAUCAGCCUGUGGCAUUGAUCAUCCCAUAGUGGUCACCGACGGGUGUCAUCUGGUCACCGACGGGUGUCAUCUGGUCACCUUCGGGUGUCAUCUGAUCUCUGACAUGUAAUCCACUACGUUAUGAUAAUAUGUUACGUUAUGAUAAUAUGUUUAGUAAGUAUAUGUAUACGUAUAUGUAUAUUAAGAUAAAUCAUCUUACAAAUUAUAAUAUCUGAAAUAUCUGAAAUGUAUAUUAAAUGUUAUUCCCCUCACUGAGUUGGUUGAACUCACCCUCAUUUUUAAUAUUAUUUCAGGUUCUUAUUCUUAGUUUCUGAUAGCAGUUGGACUUUGUUGAGUGUUUCCGCUUCUUCAGUUCUGGUCGGUAUGCCUUGCUUGUUCGCGAGGUUUUCCUUUCAGUUUUGAUUUGAUGUCUUAGACGCUCCACUAUUACCUUAUUUUAAUUACGUUUGGAUUUUGACAAUGUAAAUGUAUUAUGAAUUAUUAUUUUUGUUUUAAUAACUAUCUUUCGGUUUUAUCAGUAUUUGAAUAAUAUAAUAUUUCUGAAUAUUAUGAGCCGCUGCGUAUUUUGGAACAAAUUGUUCUUUUGAUAUGUCUGUUCUGAGGCUUAGCGUAGGUGAGGUGUCCUUUCGACACCGCUCCUGCGUUGCCGGUCACGGAUCCGGGAUUCGGGUCGUGACAAUAUCCUCAAACAACAUUUCAGCAAUAAAAACAGGUUAUUUCAGAUUUUUCACAAUUUCUUGUGUUAUCAAAAUCUUAGCACAGACUCGAAGUCAAAGUAAAUAUUAUGGAAUCUUGAUUAUCAAAGCAGAAACGAGCAACAAAGAUAAGUAACGUUACCUUGUCAGUUUCUUUUUGUAGUAUUAAAACCUGUAGGGAAGUUUUGAUCUGCAGCAAUUGCACAAAAGGAAGAUAAGAGUACUCAAAAUGCCCUCUCUAUCGAUAUGAAUGUAACAAAAUGCGAAUCAUUUUUUUUUUUUCCUGUCAGUACUAUAUGAUCUACUAUGCUUCUGCAAAUGUUAUAGAACUCACACUUCGCGUCCCUAAUUUACGAUAAGGUUGUACAACAGGAAGUCCUAGGGGAGUUGUCCACCGCACUGGCUCAUUUUCAGAUGCGAUAAUCUGGUCAGGUAAAAUGCAAAGAGAAAAUGUAAACAGAAUGUCAGUUGUUGGUAUAGAAACUAGAUAAAAAAAUAACCAAAAAAGGAAAAUCAACAUAAAGGAAAAACAAAUAAAUUGAGACAGACUCACCUUUGCACAAUCCCCAAGCCAGUUCAUGAUACUUCGUGCAGCUUCAAACAUCUCUCCUAAGGCAGUUAAGGUCACCUGAUCAAGCAACAAUAUAAAAUAUUGUCAGUGACAUGUUCUAUGAAAAAGAGUAAAGCUAAGGAAUUAUGAAUCAUCACUGUUGGGACGCUCCCUUCACACCUUUGCAGCAUAGCAAGAACAACCAAAGAUAUCUGACUCCUCUGUGAUACCACGCUCCUUUAACCUCCUUUUGAUCUGGUCUCUAGCACCAAUGUAAGUUACACCAUAUACAGAUGUCAUCACUGUCUGUUUCACCAAUUUCCUAUCCACCUAGAUGGAGUCAAACCACCAUUAGUUUGAAAGUAAAAGAACUUAUUCACAUUGAAAAAUGGCAAGGUACACCCUAUCUUUUGAAUGGGCCAAAAAAAAAAGGAAAAGCAUGAAACAGUGUUGACCCAAUAGUAACUAAGCAAUCCCUUAGUGACAGGAGACCACUAUGAUCAACAAUCAAAGCAUGCAAAAAACCUGGUUUAUUAAUUCUUUUGCACGCAAUGCAUCAGGAAAAACAUCUGGAUCUUUCUGUGCAUCCCUCCGCAUGAUAUCAAGUACUCUGCUUCGCAAAAGUGCAUGUUUAUCAUAGCAUCCUUUUGCAGAUAUCUGCUUGCUUCACAUCUAGAAAUGCACUACAGAAAUAUAGGAUUGAAAAAGAAAAAUUCUUGUAGAGGCUUUACAAAUUUGGCUCCAAUCAAACAUAUCCAAUGAAUACUACAGGACUUUGACUACUGCACAUGAAGGGCUAACAUAUUUAUCUGGUCAAAGGCCAUGAAAUAAGAGCAUUGCUGACUAAAGUUUUGCUUUGAUUGAAUUGAAACAAAUUAAAGUUCCUAAUUUAAGCAGAAAUAUGAAGCUUCAAUUGGAUGUUACUACUUCAUUACAAAUACCUGGAUUUCCUUGAAAGCCAGAAAACUCGGCCAGUGAAAUACAUUCUUCUUUUAGUUUUGUGAGAGUAGGGCUUCCAAACUCUUAGUCUUUGGGAUGAUAAUGUUAAUUGCAGAUUUCUAUUCGAUCCAAUACAUGCUGGUAGGUAUGCUUCAGAAAAACUCGGACCCAAUUAGGAAGCAUUUUUGGUUUAUAUCCCUAGGAUCAUAUUUGCGGGUCAUCCUAUUAAGAGUUGGUUAUAAAUCUAAAAAUUCAGAUUCUGUCCUCAUGUAAUUAAAUGGAACUUCAGAUUUAAAGAAGAGUAUCCCUUUAUUAAGCCCUCUAACCAAGAGUUUCCACAAUUUUCAGCACAAGUUCUUUAGUUCCUCAAAAAAUCUCUGCGUUUUCAAAUCUUCGACCUAAUCUUUAAAUCAGUCUGAGUAAAAACAACCAGCUCCAUUGGUUUGCUUCAACAAAAGCUCAUCUUAGCUCAAAUCUUUUCUACUGUAUCAUGAGGAAACCCCUUACCUAGCAGCUAUUCCCGAGUAGACAUCUGCAGGCUUCUCUCCUGCAACUAGAUUAACAGCAGCUGCUCCCAACUGUUCAAGAUUCCAAUGAUUUAACAAAAGCAGAGGGAUUCAAAAUAUAAUCAAAUGCAUUACUUUCCUAUUCAAAAAUAAAAACGAAGUUCAAAAAAUAAAAGUUUGCAGACCACUUCUAAAAAACACGACUUGAAUUCAACAAUGAUUGGCAUCAGCACAGUGCCUUAGGAAACGAAAAUCAGACAAAAAGAUGGUUUUGUUUAUCAGCAGUAAUCAUAAAGAAAAGAAAAACUUCAUAACAUCAUCCAAUUCAAGUUAAGGACGUUACCUUGUCUCUUCCAAGUGCAGCGUAGUGUUGUAGGCCAUUGCAGGAACCAUCCUACAAAAAACCAUAAGAGGGAAGGUGUACAUCAGAAGGCAGAACAGGUUAUGAGAAAAAUUAUAGGCCAGAAGAACAAAGAUAAGCCCAGGGAAGAGUACUUAAGUUGAUUGUCCCACAUAGUCCAACAGUUUUUUAUGUAAUAGAACCAAUAGAAACCACUUAAGCUUAUCAUUUUAUUUGUUUUCCUAAAGCAUACAAGGUACAAUAACAAAGAAUUUUGACUCUCCUUUUACCAUUCAUCUUCCUAACACCUCUGCCUCUCUCAAUCCAUUCCCUAACAUUCCAGUAAAAUUGUGCUCAAUUGGGUAGGAUGCUUUACAAUCCUUAAAAAAUGUCCAUAAAAAGUUUAUAUGAGCACAAUGCAAUACAUUGAUAAGAUAUACCUGAUGAACAGGAAUAUGUGAAAUAUAUGUUUCUGGCGAGGAGCUUCUCAAAGCUUCAGUCAGGUUAAUGCACACAGCCAAGAACUGAAAUGGAUCUUCUGCAUGCAACCACCAACGCUUUCCGUCAAGUGGUUUGUCUGCAGAAUCAAAUAUAUCAUCAAGGUGAUUCUCAGUAAAAGCUAUCCGUCCCUCAUAAGAUAGCUUGUCUACACCACCAGCAAAUAGAUUUGCAAUGUGUAUCUUCAGCCAGCGUAAGCCUGACUUUCCAAGAGGGCAUCCCUCUGCGAACUCCAAAAUCCCCCGGCACAGAUCUGAUCCAAGAUGGUUUAAGUAUGGGUGCAUGGGGUAGGCACGCCCACGAAAGUCAAUAUUG
rnacentral:lncRNA from 1 species